rnacentral:rRNA from 1 species
CGCGAUUCGCCCUUCGGGGUGCAGCAGGCGCGAAAACUUUACAAUGCCGGCAACGGCGAUAAGGGAACCUCGAGUGCCAGGUUACAAAUCUGGCUGUCGUGAUGCCUAAAAAGCAUUGCAUAGCAAGGGCCGGGCAAGACCGGUGCCAGCCGCCGCGGUAACACCGGCGGCUCGAGUGGUAACCGUUAUUAUUGGGUCUAAAGGGUCUGUAGCCGGCCGGGUAAGUCUCUUGGGAAAUCUGGCAGCUUAACUGUCAGGCUUUCAGGAGAUACUGCCUGGCUCGAGGCCGGGAGAGGUGAGAGGUACUUCAGGGGUAGGGGUGAAAUCUUGUAAUCCUUGAAGGACCACCAGUGGCGAAGGCGUCUCACCAGAACGGACCUGACGGCAAGGGACGAAAGCUAGGGGCACGAACCGGAUUAGAUACCCGGGUAGUCCUAGCCGUAAACGAUACUCGCUAGGUGUCGGCCACGGUGCGACCGUGGUCGGUGCCGUAGGGAAGCCGUGAAGCGAGCCACCUGGGAAGUACGGCCGCAAGGCUGAAACUUAAAGGAAUUGGCGGGGAGCAC